GAUGAACGCUGGCGGCGUGCCUAAUACAUGCAGGUCGAGCGAACAGACGAGGAGCUUGCUCCUCUGACGUUAGCGGCGGACGGGUGAGUAACACGUGGAUAACCUACCUAUAAGACUGGGAUAACUUCGGGAAACCGGAGCUAAUACCGGAUAAUAUAUUGAACCGCAUGGUUCAAUAGUGAAAGACGGUUUUGCUGUCACUUAUAGAUGGAUCCGCGCCGCAUUAGCUAGUUGGUAAGGUAACGGCUUACCAAGGCAACGAUGCGUAGACGACCGGAGAGGGGGAUCGGCCACACUGGAACUGAGACACGGUCCAGAGUCCUACGGGAGGCAGCAGUAGGGAAUCGUCCGCAAUGGGCGAAAGCCUGACGGAGCAGCGCCGCGUGAGAGAUGAAGGUCUUCGGAUCGUAAAACUCUGUUAUUAGGGAUGAACAAAUGUGUAAGGAACUAUGCACGUCUUGACGGUACCUAAUCAGAAAGCCACGGCUAACUACGUG
rnacentral:rRNA from 1 species